AGAGCUGAAGAGGCACCAUGAAGCUGAAAGGUCACCUUGGGUUCCUUUGAAGGGAAGGAUACAGAGUCCAGCCAGUGCUCAUUCCUGUUGGUGGUCUUCUUCCAGAAGCCUAAAGUAGUGGUUCUCAAACUUGAGCACUGGCUUUGAGAGCUUCUCAAGUUUCCAGAUGAUGCUGAUGCUGCUGGUCCAGGGACCAGAAUUUGAGAAGCACUGACCAAGAGGAUGAAUGAUGGAGUACGCUUUGCAGCAGAGACCAACAGCAGCCACCCGGACUCAGUUGACUUUCUGCUUACUCUGGCUUAUUUAUUCUCCAUAUGCUCCCCAUCAUCACUGAAGUAUCCUGGAUCAUUCAUUUAUGGAGGGAACCACAUUUUUACCUUAUAGGCUAGAGCUCUCUGUGGGAGAGCGGUGGGGUUUUAUAAUUUAUCAACUAUGAGGAGCUCACUAUUUCAUACCCAUGGCUGUUUAGAAUGCUUAAGAGAACACAGAAGCUCCCUGAGGUGCGGCCCUUUUUUAUGCUGGAUCUCCAACACUGGAAGCAAAAGGAAGUCCCAAACAGAAACUAUAUGCAGUGCUGAAUCUACAGUGGCUCUGAGAACUUUUAACUAAUGGGCACUUGUAAAUCUCACAACAUUUCCUACUGGCGUGAAUGCCCUGGGUAAAAUGCUCAUUAAACUGUCAGCCAGCAGAGAGGUGUCGUUGCUGGAAAGAGAGUCACAGCAUCCAGGGGUGGAAAGAGGCCUCCCUGGGCCACCAGGGCCCUCCUCUCCCCCAUUCACCCACCACCAACCCCAGACUCAAACCCUCCUUUCAAAGCCUUUCAGAGGAUGUUACAACUCUCCUUCACCUCCACCAGGAAAUUAUUCUUUUUCUCCAAUCCAAAUAUAUAUAUAUAUAUUCAUGUUUAA